rnacentral:tRNA from 1 species
GGAGAAGUAAGUUAAGAAAAACUAUAUGGUUCAUGUUCAUAAAAUACAAAGUUGUCUUCUCCU